GCAUUGCAAGCCUGGGCCUCGCCUUGGCAUUCACCGUGAGAUGGUGGCUCAACACACAGCUGCUGUUCUGUUGGAGGUGCCGCCGCCGCCGCCUUCGAAGGUAACUGUUGGAGCUGACUGGUUUCUUAAGAAGACUUCUUUCAGCAGGUUUGAAGAUUUGGAUCUUGUGAAACUAAUCUGAGAGAUCAGUGGUUGUUUUGUUAAAUCAGACAAUGUAAUUAAGUUUCUGAAAGCACAUCCUUCAUUCAUAACAGUAUUUUAAGUUACCACUUAUUUGAAUUAUUUUAUCAUUAUAUUACAGAUUUUAAAGCUUUUGAUAUAUUGGAUAUCUAUAUAUGUCAAUAUACUUACUGAAAAACUUAAUUUUGUUUGCUCAUUUUGCUUUUGUUACCGGCUUCCUGCUGCAGUUUGUUCACUUUUACACAUGCUAAAAAUCACGUCCUUAUUAGAAUCAUCAUUAUUAUAGUGUCCAAAAUAUGUUAAAACAUAUAUGGCAUUAAUUUCAUGUUCACAUGUUAUGUAAUAUUAAAGUAUUUUUUGUAGA